rnacentral:rRNA from 1 species
CUUUUCUUGUAAAGUAUAAGAAGUAUAACCUGCCCAAUGAGUUUUAAAUGGCCGCGGUAUUUUGACCGUGCAAAGGUAGCAUAAUCAUUAGUCUUUUUAUUGAGGACUGGAAUGAAUGGUUUGACGAGAUAAAAGCUGUCUUUGAAUUAUUAUAUAUAAUUUAAUUUUUAAGUAAAAAGGCUUAAAUUUUUUUAUGGGACGAGAAGACCCUAUAGAGUUUAAUAUUUGUUGAUAUUAAUUUGUGUGUAUAGUUAUAGUGAUAUAAAUGAUUAUUUGGUUGGGGUGAUAAUAAGAUAAACGAAACUCUUUUUAAUUAUUAAUUACAAAUUUGUAUGGUUUUGAUCCAUUAUUAAUGAUUAUAAGACUAAACUACCUUAGGGAUAACAGCGUUAUCUUUUUUGAGAGUUCUUAUUGACGAAAAGGAUUGCGACCUCGAUGUUGGAUUAAGAUUAUCUUUAGGUGUAGAAGCUUAUUGAAUAAGUCUGUUCGACUUUUAAAUUCUUACA